AUUGAACGCUGGCGGCAGGCCUAACACAUGCAAGUCGAGCGGAUGAAGGGAGCUUGCUCCUGGAUUCAGCGGCGGACGGGUGAGUAAUGCCUAGGAAUCUGCCUGGUAGUGGGGGAUAACGUCCGGAAACGGGCGCUAAUACCGCAUACGUCCUGAGGGAGAAAGUGGGGGAUCUUCGGACCUCACGCUAUCAGAUGAGCCUAGGUCGGAUUAGCUAGUUGGUGGGGUAAAGGCCUACCAAGGCGACGAUCCGUAACUGGUCUGAGAGGAUGAUCAGUCACAGUGGAACUGAGACACGGUCCAGGCUACUACGGGAGGCAGCAGAGGGGAAUAUUGGACAAUGGGCGAAAGCAUGAUCCAGCCAUGCCGAGUGUGUGAAGAAGGUCUUCGGAUUGUAAAGCACUUUAAGUUGGGAGGAAGGGCAGUAAGUUAAUACCUUGCUGUUUUGACGUUACCAACAGAAUAAGCACCGGCUAACUUCGUG
rnacentral:rRNA from 1 species